UUAAUGGCAGUGAUAAAGAGGAGUAAAAACUGAAAGUAUCAAAGAGAGAGGGGUAAGGUGUAAGCCCUUAUAUGGAAGGUUUUGAAGGUAGCUUUUGAGCUUCUUUAGUGAAAUUUAAGUAGCUAAAGACGGUUUUUCUAAAUCGUUAUUUAAUUAAGAGCCCAUGAAAGUGGGAAUAAAGGUGGUACCGCGAGUCUUCGUCCUUUUU
rnacentral:ncRNA from 1 species